AUUACAGCCAAAUAUAUCAGAGAGGCUAUUGAUGCAGAACAUAUUGCCAUAGCUGAUCAGGUGGCAGUGCAAAAAGCAAUAUCCCAAGUUACAAGAAUUCCUGUGCCUCAACUUGGUCCCAACGAAAAUUUUGAGAACAAUUCAUUGGCACGGCUUGGAGAAGACAGAAGACGUACAAGUGGAAAAGUUACAAAAAAUUUACUUAUCGCUGCAAUAGGUAAA